rnacentral:rRNA from 1 species
CGCUGGCGGCGUGCCUAACACAUGCAAGUCGAGCGAUGAGGCUCCCUUCGGGGAGUACAUCAGCGGCGGACGGGUGAGUAACACGUGGGUGAUCUACCCUAAAGACGGGAUAACUUCUGGAAACAGGAGCUAAUACCCGACGAGCUCGGUAGUUCGGUCUAUUGAGCAAAGGUUACGAUGCUUUAGGAUGAGCCCGCGGCCCAUCAGCUAGUUGGUAGGGUAAAGGCCUACCAAGGCGAAGACGGGUAGGGGGCGUGAGAGCGUGACCCCCCACACUGGCACUGAAACACGGGCCAGACUCCUACGGGAGGCAGCAGUGAGGGAUAUUGCGCAAUGGAGGAAACUCUGACGCAGCGACGCCGCGUGGGUGAAGAAGGCCUUCGGGUCGUAAAGCCCUUUUAUGGGGGAAGAGAAAGGACGGUACCCCAUGAAUAAGCCCCGGCUAACUACGUGCCAGCAGCCGCGGUAAAACGUAGGGGGCAAGCGUUAUCCGGAUUUACUGGGCGUAUAGAGCGUUGAGGCGGCGCUGUAAGUUGGACGUGAAAGCCCCGGGCCCAACCCGGGGGGGCCGUUCAAUACUGCAGGCGUUGAGGUCAGCAGAGGGAGAUGGAAUUC